rnacentral:lncRNA from 1 species
GUUGUCGCCUCCAAGAAGGUGGGGGCCAGAGGGUGGGGAAGGGGACGGGUGGAGGGACAGAAGGGAUGCAGAGGACCAGAGAAGUUGUGGCUGCAGGUCCCCUCUUCCCGCUCGCGCCUGGGGUUCCCUCUCCUCCCCCUGUGCAGCACAGCCGGCGCGGGCGUCCGAGCGCCGGGAGCCGGGGCUUAUAUGGGACGGUCCCCUCCCGCCCCUCUGGAGGCCCGGGGCGCGGGGGAGGAGAGACCCGCCGGGCUGUCCCCGCCCCGCCCCACCCCACCCGCCCGCCCGCCCGCCGGCCGCCGCAGCCGACCGCGCGCCGAUUGGCCCGGGCUCCGGGUGACGUCACGGGGGACUGUGGGUUCGCAGCGAACAAAAGAGAUGCUGAUGGCCCGCCAGGACUGGGGAAAGCCUUCCUUUCCUGGGGAUGGGACGCCCGUUUCCACUGAAAGUGAAAUCACUGUGAACAACCUGAAAAUU